GGUGCUCCCUCCAAGUCCCUGCCUGCAGGUGUGAAUACCCUGGCUUACCCUCUGACCACCAUCAAACCCCCCUUUGCCUGCUUUUUCAAGCCAUUUUCAGCGGGCUGCCUUGUUGCCCGCAGAAAAGCCUCCUCAUCGUGAUUACCAUAGAAGAAUCAAGAGGAACAAUCGUCCUCGCUACUACUAGCUGCGCUUCGUUAUGCUGGACCAACUGCCUGAGAAGGAUCUAGUCAGUCAUCUGUCUCCUCUCACCUGAGCAGCACCUCCGCUGCCUCAAACCUCCUUGUACCUGGAAGCAGGACUUUCCUAACACCGGCUGGUCACAACCACAGACCUUCCUGGUAUCUGGACCAGCCCAGAUCCUGGG